rnacentral:rRNA from 1 species
UACGAAGGGGGCUAGCGUUGUUCGGAAUUACUGGGCGUAAAGCGCGCGCAGGCGGUUUCUCAAGUCAGUGGUGAAAGCCCGGAGCUCAACUCCGGAACUGCCAUUGAAACUGUGAAACCUGAGGACGAGAGAGGUGAGUGGAAUUCCCAGUGUAGAGGUGAAAUUCGUAGAUAUUGGGAAGAACACCGGUGGCGAAGGCGGCUCACUGGCUCGUUUCUGACGCUCAGGCGCGACAGCGUGGGGAUCAAACAGG